AACGACGCAGCGAGAAGUUCAUUGAACCUUAUCAUUUAGAGGAAGGAGAAGUCGUAACAAGGUUUCCGUAGGUGAACCUGCGGAAGGAUCAUUG
rnacentral:rRNA from 1 species